UGGAAGUAAAAAGUCGUAACAAGGUCUCCGUUGGUGAACCAGCGGAGGGAUCAUUACAGAGUUAUCCAACUCCCAAACCCAUGUGAACUUAUCUCUUUGUUGCCUCGGCGCAAGCUACCCGGGACCUCGCGCCCCGGGGGGCCCGCCGGCGGACAAACCAAACUCUGUUAUCUUCGUUGAUUAUCUGAGUGUCUUAUUUAAUAAGUCAAAACUUUCAACAACGGAUCUCUUGGUUCUGGCAUCGAUGAAGAACGCAGCGAAAUGCGAUAAGUAAUGUGAAUUGCAGAAUUCAGUGAAUCAUCGAAUCUUUGAACGCACAUUGCGCCCAUUAGUAUUCUAGUGGGCAUGCCUGUUCGAGCGUCAUUUCAACCCCUAAGCACAGCUUAUUGUUGGGACUCUACGGCUUCGUAGUUCCCCAAAGACAUUGGCGGAGUGGCAGCAGUCCUCUGAGCGUAGUAAUUCUUUAUCUCGCUUUUGUUAGGCGCUGCCCCCCCGGCCGUAAAACCCCCAAUUUUUUCUGGUUGACCUCGGAUCAGGUAGGAAUACCCGCUGAACUUAAGCAUAUCAAUAAGCGGAGGAA
rnacentral:rRNA from 1 species